rnacentral:rRNA from 1 species
AUGGCGCAAGAUAAUACCAAAUUGUGUUACUUUUCCAAUACCAAUAAUAAUGAUUUCCUUAGUACUCUGAUUGCUCCUCUUAAUGAUGUUGAGUCUUGUGAAAUCAAUGCUGCUUUGCUGAAUCUUGUUAUGAAAGAUCAAUUCUCCGGCCUUCCUAGUGAAGAUGUCGCUACCCAUCUAAACAACUUUGUUGAUUUGUGUGAGAUGCAAAAGAAGAAAGAUAUGGAUAAUGAUAUUGUUAAAUUGAAGUUAUUUCCGUUUUCACUUAGAGAUCGUGCUAAAGUUUGGUUUUCGUCUUUGCCUAAGAAUAGUAUUGAUUCAUGGAAUAAGUGCAAAGAUGCUUUUAUCUCUAAGUAUUUUCGUCCCGCUAAGAUCAUCUCUCUUAGGAACGAUAUUAUGAAUUUUAAACAACUUGAUCAUGAGCAUGUUGCCCAAUCUUGGGAAAGAAUGAAAUUGAUGAUUCGCAAUUGCCCUACUCAUGGUUUGAACUUAUGGAUGAUCAUACAAAAAAUUUAUGCCGGAUUGAAUUUUGCUUCUAGAAAUCUUUUAGAUUCGGCUGCGGGAGGCACUUUUAUGGAGAUCACCUUAGGAGAAGCUACUAAACUCCUUGAUAACAUUAUGGCUAAUUAUUCUCAAUGGCACACCGAAAGAUCUACUAGUAAAAAAGUGCAUGCUAUAGAAGAAAUUAAUGUUUUGAGUGGAAAGAUGGAUGAACUUAAGAAAUUGUUUGCUACUAAGAGUGCUUCUAUUGAUCCCAAUGAUAUGCCUUUGUCUACUUUGAUUGAGAAUAAUAAUGAAUCUAUGGAUGUGAAUUUUGUUGGUAGGAAUAAUUUUGGUAACAAUGCUUAUAGAGGAAACUUUAAUUCUAGACCGUUCCCUAGUAAUUCCUCUAAUAAUUAUGAAAAUUCCUACAAUAAUUCUUAUGGUAAUUUUAAUAAGGUACCCUCUCAUUUUGAGAAUAGUGUUAAAGAAUUUAUGAUCUCUCAAAAGAAUUUUAAUGCCUUGCUUGAAGAGAAAUUGCUUAAAGUUGAUGAUUUGGCUAGGAACGUUGAUAGACUUUCGCUUGAUGUUGAUUCUUUGAAACUUAGAUCUACUCCUCCUAAGCAUGAUAUCAAUGAGUCUCUCAAAGCGAUGAGAAUUUCCAUUGAUGAGUGCAAAGAAAGAACCGCUAGAUUGCGUGCUAAGAACGAUUGCUUUGUAAAAGCGUGUUCUUCUAGUUUCCAUGAAAAUAAUGAUGAAGAUCUAAAAGUUAUUGAUGUGUCCCCUAUUAAAUCUUUGUUUUGCAAUAUGAAUCUUAAUAAUGAUGGGAUGGGAGAUGAGUCAACUUUAGUUAAAAGGCGUCCCAAUGAUUCGGAGUUUUUAGAUCUUGAUGCUAAAUUUGGUAAAAGUGGGAUUGGAGAGGUCAAGACUUUAAAUAUCAUUGAACCCACUAUCUUGGAUUUCAAGGAAUUUAAUUACGAUAAUUGUUCUUUAGUAGAUUGUAUUUCCUUGUUGCAAUCCGUUUUGAAUUCUCCUCAUGCUUAUAGUCAAAAUAAAGCUUUUACCAAACAUAUUGUUGAUGCCUUUAUGCAAUCUUAUGAUGAAAAACUUAAUUUGGAAGUUUCUAUACCUAGAAAACUUAAUGAUGAGUGGGAACCUACUAUAAAGAUUAAAAUUAAAGAUCAUGAGUGCUAUGCUUUGUGUGAUUUGGGUGCUGGUGUUUCCACGAUUCCAAAAACCUUAUGUGAUAUUCUAGGUUUCCAUGAUCUUGGUGAUUGCUCUUUAAAUUUGCACCUUGCGGAUUCUACCAUUAAGAAGCCUAUGGGAAGUAUCAAUGAUGUUAUUAUUGUUGUGAAUAGGAAUUAUGUGCCCGUAGAUUUUAUCGUUCUUGACAUAUAUUGCAAUCUUUCAUGUCCUAUUAUUCUUGGUAGACCUUUCCUUAGAACGAUUGGUGCGAUUAUUGAUAUGAAGGAAGGGAAUAUUAGAUUCCAAUUUCCAUUAAGGAAAGGCAUGGAGCACUUUCCAAGAAAGAAAGUCAAAUUACCUUAUGAAUCUAUCAUGCAAGCUACUUAUGAAUUGAGUGUCAAAGAUGGCACUACUUAG